AUGUUAAUGGCACUAAUUCCGCCACCAGGAGGAGUGCCAAGAGACCAGGAUGACGGCGUCAGUACCCCAACACCAAUGGUCACCGCUGACCAGAGCCUGACGUUCUUUGGUAUGAAGGAUAUCGAUGAGUGUGCUUCUCAACCUUGUCAGAACAACGGAACAUGUAUGGAUCUUAUCAAUGGAUACCAGUGUAACUGUACAGACGGUUUUAAUGGAACGACCUGCACAGACGAUAUCGAUGAGUGUGCUUCUCAACCUUGUCAGAACAACGGAACAUGUAUGGAUCUUAUCAAUGGAUACCAGUGUAACUGUACAGACGGUUUUAAUGGAACGACCUGCACAGACGAUAUUGAUGACUGCUCGCAAGAUCCCUGUCAAAACAACGGAACCUGUAUAGACCAGGUCAACCACUUCCAAUGCGAAUGUGUUCCUGGAUACAAUGGAACAACGUGUGAAAACAAUAUCGAUGAGUGUGCUUCUCAACCUUGUCAGAACAACGGAACAUGUAUGGAUCUUAUCAAUGGAUACCAGUGUAACUGUACAGACGGUUUUAAUGGAACGACCUGCACAGACGAUAUUGAUGACUGCUCGCAAGAUCCCUGUCAAAACAACGGAACCUGUAUAGACCAGGUCAACCACUUCCAAUGCGAAUGUGUUCCUGGAUACAAUGGAACAACGUGUGAAAACAAUAUCGAUGAGUGUGCUUCUCAACCUUGUCAGAACAACGGAACAUGUAUGGAUCUUAUCAAUGGAUACCAGUGUAACUGUACAGACGGUUUUAAUGGAACGACCUGCACAGACGAUAUUGAUGACUGCUCGCAAGAUCCCUGUCAAAACAACGGAACCUGUAUAGACCAGGUCAACCACUUCCAAUGCGAAUGUGUUCCUGGAUACAAUGGAACAACGUGUGAAAACAAUAUCGAUGAGUGUGCUUCUCAACCUUGUCAGAACAACGGAACAUGUAUGGAUCUUAUCAAUGGAUACCAGUGUAACUGUACAGACGGUUUUAAUGGAACGACCUGCACAGACGAUAUUGAUGACUGCUCGCAAGAUCCCUGUCAAAACAACGGAACCUGUAUAGACCAGGUCAACCACUUCCAAUGCGAAUGUGUUCCUGGAUACAAUGGAACAACGUGUGAAAACAAUAUUGAUGACUGCUCGCAAGAUCCCUGUCAAAACAACGGAACCUGUAUAGACCAGGUCAACCACUUCCAAUGCGAAUGUGUUCCUGGAUACAAUGGAACAACGUGUGAAAACAAUAUCGAUGAGUGUGCUUCUCAACCUUGUCAGAACAACGGAACAUGUAUGGAUCUUAUCAAUGGAUACCAGUGUAACUGUACAGACGGUUUUAAUGGAACGACCUGCACAGACGAUAUUGAUGACUGCUCGCAAGAUCCCUGUCAAAACAACGGAACCUGUAUAGACCAGGUCAACCACUUCCAAUGCGAAUGUGUUCCUGGAUACAAUGGAACAACGUGUGAAAACAAUAUUGAUGACUGCUCGCAAGAUCCCUGUCAAAACAACGGAACCUGUAUAGACCAGGUCAACCACUUCCAAUGCGAAUGUGUUCCUGGAUACAAUGGAACAACGUGUGAAAACAAUAUCGAUGAGUGUGCUUCUCAACCUUGUCAGAACAACGGAACAUGUAUGGAUCUUAUCAAUGGAUACCAGUGUAACUGUACAGACGGUUUUAAUGGAACGACCUGCACAGACGAUAUUGAUGACUGCUCGCAAGAUCCCUGUCAAAACAACGGAACCUGUAUAGACCAGGUCAACCACUUCCAAUGCGAAUGUGUUCCUGGAUACAAUGGAACAACGUGUGAAAACAACGGUUUUAAUGGAACGGCCUGCACAGACGAUAUUGAUGACUGCUCGCAAGAUCCCUGUCAAAACAACGGAACCUGUAUAGACCAGGUCAACCACUUCCAAUGCGAAUGUGUUCCUGGAUACAAUGGAACAACGUGUGAAAACAAUAUCGAUGAGUGUGCUUCUCAACCUUGUCAGAACAACGGAACAUGUAUGGAUCUUAUCAAUGGAUACCAGUGUAACUGUGCAGACGGUUUUAAUGGAACGACCUGCAUAGACGACAUCGAUCUGUGCGCUUCCUUGCCGUGUAAGAACAACGGAACCUGUAUUGAUUUGACCAAUAUAUUCCAGUGUCAGUGUCCUUUGGAAUUCAACGGAACUACCUGCUCCACAGAAUCACAUUUAACGAAAUUCACGAUGGAAUUGAAAAUAGACAUAACAAUAUCUGAAGAUUUGUCUUCAAGCUCUGAUUAUAACACCGUUAAAAGUAAAGUACAUAUUGCGUUAACAGACAUUUAUUCCAUGAUAACAGGAUCUACAGUAGUCAUACACAAAAUGAGGAAGGGGAGUCUAAUUGUUGACUUUGACCUCAUUAUUCCGGAUGAUCCCGUAUCCAAAAUUCAAGUCGUGGACACCGUUUAUAAGCUUGUAAACGGUCUUGUCUUUGUUAAUUACUCCAGCGAGGUCGUCAACGUGACGUCUGCAUCCAUCAACUCAUCUGCUGGCACCGUUAUCAUCACCAAUUCCACUGACGGGUGUUACAUUAUGAAUUCCCUGGACGUGUGUUUACCUGGAUACAGGUGUCAUGAGUUUAACAACUACACGGUGGCCUGCAUUCCAAUUAUAAGUAAGUAUUAUAAGAUUAAAGCCUUUGAUUUUUAAGACCAAUACAUUUCUCUAUUAAUAUUUACAAUUGUGCAUGAAAUAUUUUAAUAGUUUCUGAUUUUAUUUAUUAUGCAAUAUACUUAUAUAUAAUGAAUCUUUUCACAACAGAAAUUGUUUACUAAAUACAGGGUUAGUUUCGCCCUGUGUUAUUUUCGCACCUCUACUCUUGCAAACGGUUUAGCCCCGUCUUUAAUUCGCCCAGGCACAGCUGAAUUUAGAAGGAAAUAAUAUUAGAAAUUAUCUCAGUCCCACUGACAAUAAGGGCGAAAGGAACGAAAAUAAAACGGGAGUGAAUAUUUCCCUGUAUACACUGGGGUUUUUUUUCAAAGUCAAUUUGUUGCAGUUACGUACUGUAUACAUACAUAUACCUAUAUUUCAUAAUUAUUUAUUUAUUUUUGUUGUUGCAUUUUUUAGUACUUGUAUUUAAUCUUGUGAAUGAAAGAUGAGUGAAUGUGAUGAACUUUAUAUAUGUUUGUGACU
rnacentral:sRNA from 1 species